AUUGACGGGGACCCGCACAAGCGGUGGAUGAUGUGGAUUAAUUCGAUGCAACGCGAAAAACCUUACCUACCCUUGACAUGUCUGGAAUGCCGAAGAGAUUUGGUAGUGCUCGCAAGAGAACCGGAACACAGGUGCUGCAUGGCUGUCGUCAGCUCGUGUCGUGAGAUGUUGGGUUAAGUCCCGCAACGAGCGCAACCCUUGUCAUUAGUUGCUACGAAAGGGCACUCUAAUGAGACUGCCGGUGACAAACCGGAGGAAGGUGGGGAUGACGUCAAGUCCUCAUGGCCCUUAUGGGUAGGGCUUCACACGUCAUACAAUGGUCGGGACAGAGGGUCGCCAACCCGCGAGGGGGAGCCAAUCCCAGAAACCCGAUCGUAGUCCGGAUCGCAGUCUGCAACUCGACUGCGUGAAGUCGGAAUCGCUAGUAAUCGCGGAUCAGCAUGUCGCGGUGAAUACGUUCCCGGGUCUUGUACACAUCGCCCGUCACACCAUGGGAGUGGGUUUUACCAGAAGUAGUUAGCCUAACCGCAAGGGGGGCGAUUACCACGGUAGGAUUCAUGACUGGGGUGAAGUCGUAACAAGGUAACC
rnacentral:rRNA from 1 species